AACGAACGCUGGCGGCGCGCCUAAUACAUGCAAGUCGAGCGAGAAGACGUAGCAAUACGUUUGUAAAGCGGCGAACGGGUGAGGAAUACAUGGGUAACCUACCCUCGAGUGGGGAAUAACUAGCCGAAAGGUUAGCUAAUACCGCGUACGCUUCUUGGACUUCGGUUCAGGGAGGAAAGCGAUACCGUGGGUAUCGCGCUCUUGGAUGGGCUCAUGUCCUAUCAGCUUGUUGGNGAGGUAACGGCUCACCAAGGCUUCGACGGGUAGCUGGUCUGAGAGGACGAUCAGCCACACUGGCACUGCGACACGGGCCAGACUCCUACGGGAGGCAGCAGUAAGGAAUAUUGCGCAAUGGGCGAAAGCCUGACGCAGCGACGCCGCGUGGGGGAUGAAGGUC
rnacentral:rRNA from 1 species